UAGACCAGGGUGAUCUCCUACUGUAUCAUAGGUCUAUAGACCAGGGUGAUCUCCUACUGUAUCAUAGGUCUAUAGACCAGGGUGAUCUCCUACUGUAUCAUAGGUCUAUAGACCAGGGUGAUCUCCUACUGUAUCAUAGGUCUAUAGACCAGGGUGAUCUCCUACUGUAUCAUAGGUCUAUAGACCAGGGUGAUCUCCUACUGUAUCAUAGGUCUAUAGACCAGGGUGAUCUCCUACUGUAUAAUAGGUCUAUAGACCAGGGUGAUCUCCUACUGUAUCAUAGGUCUAUAGACCAGGGUGAUCUCCUACUGUAUCAUAGGUCUAUAGACCAGGGUGAUCUCCUACUGUAUCAUAGGUCUAUAGACCAGGGUGAUCUCCUACUGUAUAAUAGGUCUAUAGACCAGGGUGAUCUCCUACUGUAUCAUAGG